AACGAACGCUGGCGGCAUGCCUAACACAUGCAAGUCGAACGAACCCUUCGGGGUUAGUGGCGCACGGGUGCGUAACGCGUGGGGAUCUGCCCAAAGGUUCGGAAUAACUCAGAGAAAUUUGAGCUAAUACCGGAUAAUGUCUUCGGACCAAAGAUUUAUUGCCUUUGGAUGAACCCGCGUAGGAUUAGCUUGUUGGUGGGGUAAAGGCCUACCAAGGCGACGAUCCUUAGCUGGUCUGAGAGGAUGAUCAGCCACACUGGGACUGAGACACGGCCCAGACUCCUACGGGAGGCAGCAGUGGGGGAAUAUUGGACAAUGGGCGAAAGCCUGAUCCAGCAAUGCCGCGUGAGUGAUGAAGGCCUUAGGGUUGUAAAGCUCUUUUACCUAGGGAUGAUAAUGACAGUACCUGGAGAAUAAGCUCCGGCUAACUCCGUG
rnacentral:rRNA from 1 species